rnacentral:rRNA from 1 species
CCUACGGGGGGCAGCAGUGAGGAAUAUUGGUCAAUGGACGAGAGUCUGAACCAGCCAAGUAGCGUGAAGGAUGACUGCCCUAUGGGUUGUAAACUUCUUUUAUAAAGGAAUAAAACGAGGCACGUGUGCCUUUUUGCAUGUACUUUAUGAAUAAGGAUCGGCUAACUCCGUGCCAGCAGCCGCGGUAAUACGGAGGAUCCGAGCGUUAUCCGGAUUUAUUGGGUUUAAAGGGAGCGUAGAUGGGUUGUUAAGUCAGUUGUAAAAGUUUGCGGCUCAACCGUAAAAUUGCAAUUGAUACUGGCAGUCUUGAGUACAGAUGAGGUAGGCGGAAUUCGUGGUGUAGCGGUGAAAUGCUUAGAUAUCACGAAGAACCCCGAUUGCGAAGGCAGCUUACUAAACUGUGACUGACAUUGAUGCUCGAAAGUGUGGGUAUCAAACAGGAUUAGAUACCCUAGUAGUC